UACAGAGGGUGCAAGCGUUAAUCGGAAUUACUGGGCGUAAAGCGUGUGUAGGCGGAUGCCUAAGUACCUUGUGAAAUCCCACGGCUCAACCGUGGAACUGCUUGGUAUACUGGGUGUCUUGAGCCAUCUAGGGGCUACCGGAACAAAUGGUUGAGCGGUGAAAUGCGUAGAUAUCAUUUGGAACGCCAAUGGUGAAAACAGGUAGCUGGGGAUGUGCUGACGCUGAGACACGAAAGCCAGGGGAGCAAACGGG
rnacentral:rRNA from 1 species